rnacentral:rRNA from 1 species
AUUGAACGCUGGCGGAAUGCUUUACACAUGCAAGUCGAACGGCAGCACGGACUUCGGUCUGGUGGCGAGUGGCGAACGGGUGAGUAAUGUAUCGGAACGUGCCCAGUCGUGGGGGAUAACGAAGUGAAAAUUACGCUAAUACCGCAUACGAUCUAUGGAUGAAAGCGGGGGAUCGCAAGACCUCGCGCGAUUGGAGCGGCCGAUAUCAGAUUAGGUAGUUGGUGGGGUAAAGGCCCACCAAGCCAACGAUCUGUAGCUGGUCUGAGAGGACGACCAGCCACACUGUAACUGAGACACGGUCCAGACUCCUACGGGAGGCAGCAGUGGGGAAUUUUGGACAAUGGGUGAAAGCCUGAUCCAGCCAUUCCGCGUGCAGGAUGAAGGCCCUCGGGUUGUAAACUGCUUUUGUACAGAACGAAAAGGUUUCUACUAAUACUAGGAGCUCAUGACGGUACUGUAAGAAUAAGCACCGGCUAACUACGUGCCAGCCGCCGCCGUAA